CCCAGCUGAGCUCCACCUCUCCCCAGAGCUGUGUUUGCCAUGGGAGCACAUCUGUUCUGGCUUCUCCACCUAUUUCUGAAGGAUGUUUUCAUGCCAAAGAGGGAAAAAGAAAUCCUAACAAAUAGCAAGUUCAUGGAGUGCUUGAAUCUGAGGAUAUGUUCAAGUGCAGACAUAACAUCUUGUUCAAACAAAAUCCUCCUGGAGUGA
rnacentral:lncRNA from 1 species